rnacentral:rRNA from 1 species
GAGUUUGAUCAUGGCUCAGAACGAACGCUGGCGGCAUGCCUAACACAUGCAAGUCGAACGCUCGUCUUCGGACGGGAGUGGCGCACGGGUGAGUAACGCGUGGGAACCUGCCCUGGGGUGGGGGAUAACCGAUGGAAACGUCGGCUAAUACUGCAUACGUCCUGAGGGAGAAAGAUUUAUCGCCCUGGGAGGGGCCCGCGUCGGAUUAGCUAGUUGGUGGGGUAAAGGCCUACCAAGGCGAUGAUCCGUAGCUGGUCUGAGAGGAUGAUCAGCCACACUGGGACUGAGACACGGCCCAGACUCCUACGGGAGGCAGCAGUGGGGAAUAUUGGACAAUGGGCGCAAGCCUGAUCCAGCAAUGCCGCGUGAGUGAUGAAGGCCUUAGGGUUGUAAAGCUCUUUCGGCGGGGACGAUGAUGACGGUACCCGCAGAAGAAGCCCCGGCUAACUUCGUGCCAGCAGCCGCGGUUAG